CUCAAACUGCAGAUCUCAACAUUUAUUUAUCUAAUUCUACUGUUACUACUCACUCUCAUUUUUCUCUAUGCUUCUUCUAUUCUAUGCCCGCCUAUGAAGCUGCUCGCCGAGAACGCAGGGAAUUUAGACGCGGCCAUAGAGCAAUUGCUGAAUGCGGAGAAGCAUGCCAGGCUCGCCGGCGACGUCGCCGCCACCAGAAACGCCGUCACGGAAAUUUUACGGCUAUGCUUCGAAGCGCGUGCCUGGAAAACUCUCAAUGACCAGAUUGUUCUGUUAUCAAAACGACGUGGUCAGCUUAAGCAGGCUGUGACAGCAAUGGUCCAGCAGGCUAUGAAAUAUAUUGAUGAGACACCAGAUCUUGAAACUCGUAUAGAACUCAUCAAAACCUUGAACAGUGUAUCUGCAGGAAAGAUAUAUGUGGAGAUUGAGAGAGCUCGGUUGAUCAAGAAACUUGCAAAGAUUAAGGAAGAACAAGGGCUUAUAGCUGAAGCUGCUGAUUUGAUGCAAGAAAUUGCGGUGGAAACUUUUGGUGCCAUGGCCAAAACUGAGAAAAUUGCUUUCAUUCUUGAACAAGUUCGUUUGUGUCUUGACUGUCAGGAUUAUGUUCGUGCACAAAUACUCUCAAGAAAGAUUAGUACAAGAGUAUUUGAUGCCGAUGUUUCAAAGGAAAAGAAAAAGCCUAAAGAAGGUGAUAAUGUUGUUGAGGAAGCUCCUGCUGAUAUACCAUCUCUACCAGAGUUGAAGCGGAGCUAUUAUGAACUAAUGAUUCGGUAUUAUUCCCAUAAAAAUAAUUAUCUUGAAAUUUGCCGUUGCUACAAGGAAAUAUAUGAGGUUCCAUCCGUCAAAGAGAACCCUGCCGAGUGGAUUCCAAUCCUGAGGAAAAUAUGUUGGUACUUGGUUCUAUCACCACAUGAUCCAAUGCAGUCAAGCCUUCUCAAUUCCACCUUGGAGGAUAAGAAUCUGUCUGAGAUUUCAAACUUUAAGUUACUGUUGAAACAGUUGGUCACUAUGGAGGUUAUCCAGUGGACAGCUCUUUGGGAUGCAUACAAGGAUGAGUUCAAGAACGAGAAUAACUUUGGGAAAAAAUUGGGUGAAAAAGCAGCAGAAGAUCUGAAGGAAAGAGUAAUUGAACAUAAUAUUAUUGUUAUAUCAAAAUACUAUGCAAGGAUUACUUUGAAGAGACUGGCAGAGCUUUUGUGUCAGAGUGUUCAGGAAGCUGAGAAGCAUCUUUCAGAUAUGGUUGUUUCUAAGACAUUGGUAGCGAAGAUUGAUAGACCCAUGGGAAUAGUUUGUUUCCAAUCAGCCAAGGAUAGCAAUGACAUUCUUAACUCAUGGGCAGCAAACUUGGAGAGACUGCUUGAUCUUGUGGAGAAGAGCUGCCAUCAAAUACACAAGGAAACCAUGGUGCAUAAAGCUGCCUUGAAGGUUUAAGAGCACCAUAUCACUAUCAAAAGUUACAGGCGAACCCCAAUAUAGAUGUGAUUUUGGACUGAAGUGCCUUAACUUGAUGUUUCAUUUGAAUUGUUGCUGAUUAGGUUGGUGAGUGUACUUUAUCUCCCUCGAUUGUGAGAGGACGUGUAAAGAUCAAAAAGGAAGCUUUAAAGUGAAAAAAAUAAUUCGAGUUACUUUGCUCAGACGAAAGGAAGAAUUAUAUUACAAGGUUUUGUGGCCUUGGUUCAGACCAUUUAUUUUCCCAUGUUUUAUAAUGAUCUUCACGCGUGUGUUGUGUGCGUACGUAUGUUGUGCCUCGUAUUAUUCACUUUUUGUUAACGAAUUCUUGCUUACGUAGUCGAGUAACGUUGAAAUAUCCGCAUGGUAGUCAACCUCAGGAUCGUUUCUGUCAAA